rnacentral:rRNA from 1 species
UACGAAGGGGGCUAGCGUUGCUCGGAAUCACUGGGCGUAAAGCGCACGUAGGCGGAUGUGCGUCAGGGGUGAAAUCCCGGAGCUCAACUCCGGAACUGCCUCUGAUACAGCACGUCUGAGUUCGAGAGAGGUGGGUGGAAUUCCUAGUGUAGAGGUGAAAUUCGUAGAUAUUAGGAAGAACACCGGUGGCGAAGGCGGCAUCCUGGACCGAGAUUGACACUGAAAAGCGAAAGCCAGGGGAGCAAACGGG